GCCAGGCGCGGCGGCUGUGCCUGUAGUCCCAGCUACUCGGGAGGCUGAGGUGGGAGGAUCGAUUGAGCCCAGGAGUUCUGGGCUGUAAUGUGCUAUGCAGAUCUGGUGUCUGCACUAAGUUCGGCAUCAAUAUGGUGACCUCCCAGGAGCGGGGAACCACCAGGUUGCCUAAGGAGGUGUGAACCGGCCCAGGUGGGAAAUGGAGCAGGUCAAAACUCCCGUGCUCAUCAGUAGUGGGAUCACCCCUGUGAAUAGCCACUGCACUCCAGCCUAGGCAGCAUAGCGAGACCCCAUCUCU
rnacentral:SRP_RNA from 1 species